ACUACUAGCAACAGCCUAAAACUCAAAGGACUUGGCGGUGCUUUACACCCCCCUAGAGGAGCCUGUUCUAUAAUCGAUAAACCCCGAUAAACCCCACCAAUUCUCGCUAAUACAGCCUAUAUACCGCCAUCUUCAGCAAACCCUAAAAAGGAGGUACAGUAAGCAAGAUUAUAAAAACAUAAAUACGUUAGGUCAAGGUGUAGCCCAUGAAUUGGAAAGAAAUGGGCUACAUUUUCUAAAAUAGAACACGAACGAACGCCCUAAUGAAAACGAGGGUCAAAGGAGGAUUUAGCAGUAAGUUGAGAAUAGAAAG
rnacentral:rRNA from 1 species